AUUGAACGCUGGCGGCAUGCCUUACACAUGCAAGUCGAACGGCAGCGCGGACUUCGGUCUGGCGGCGAGUGGCGAACGGGUGAGUAAUACAUCGGAACGUACCCUGUUGUGGGGGAUAACUAGUCGAAAGAUUAGCUAAUACCGCAUACGACCUGGGGGUGAAAGUGGGGGACCGCAAGGCCUCACGCAGCAGGAGCGGCCGAUGUCUGAUUAGCUAGUUGGUGGGGUAAAGGCCCACCAAGGCGACGAUCAGUAGCUGGUCUGAGAGGACGAUCAGCCACACUGGGACUGAGACACGGCCCAGACUCCUACGGGAGGCAGCAGUGGGGAAUUUUGGGACAAUGGGGGCAACCCUGAUCCAGCAAUGCCGCGUGUGUGAAGAAGGCC
rnacentral:rRNA from 1 species